rnacentral:rRNA from 1 species
UUCGGGGUGAGUGGCAGACGGGUGAGUAACGCGUGGGAACGUGCCCUUCAGUUCGGGAUAACCCAGGGAAACUUGGGCUAAUACCGGAUAAGCCCUUACGGGGAAAGAUUUAUCGCCAAAGGAUCGGCCCGCGUCUGAUUAGCUAGUUGGUGGGGUAAUGGCCCACCAAGGCUACGAUCAGUAGCUGGUCUGAGAGGAUGAUCAGCCACACUGGGACUGAGACACGGCCCAGACUCCUACGGGAGGCAGCAGUUAGGAAUCUUGGACAAUGGGCGCAAGCCUGACGACGCAACGCCGCGUGGAGGACGAAGAUUUUCGGA